rnacentral:rRNA from 1 species
UACGUAGGGUGCAAGCGUUAAUCGGAAUUACUGGGCGUAAAGCGUGCGCAGGCGGUUGUGCAAGACAGAGGUGAAAUCCCCGGGCUUAACCUGGGAACUGCAUUUGUGACUGCACGGCUAGAGUGUGUCAGAGGGGGGUAGAAUUCCACGUGUAGCAGUGAAAUGCGUAGAUAUGUGGAGGAAUACCGAUGGCGAAGGCAGCCCCCUGGGAUAACACUGACGCUCAUGCACGAAAGCGUGGGGAGCAAACAGG